GGAUGUGCGGGUGAUCUGGAUGCAGCAUCUAUCACCCCAUUAAUCACCAGGGUUGAUUCUGCUCAUCUGGCUGGCUAUGCAGGUAUCCCUGUCCUCCCUCAAUGCUCUGAAGCCGUGCACUCGGUUGAAGAGGACGAGUACCCUGAUAGAGGAGGACUGUUUCUUGGUCAGAGGUAUAGGAGUAGCAGCCCUCCCCUGCUAAAACCUCCAAACAAGCUCUCAAGAACAAAUAUAAAUGGUGAAUGGACACCUGAAAAGAUGCUGAAUAUCCCUAAUCAUCAGAGAAGCACAAUU
rnacentral:snRNA from 1 species